rnacentral:tRNA from 1 species
AUCGGCGAGCUUGGGAAGCGGAACGGUCUCCAAAACCGUGUCCAGGGGGUUCGACUCCUCCCGCCGGUG